rnacentral:rRNA from 1 species
CCUACGGGGGGCAGCAGUGAGGAAUAUUGGUCAAUGGGCGAGAGCCUGAACCAGCCAAGUCGCGUGAGGGAGUACUGCCCUAUGGGUUGUAAACCUCUUUUGUCGGGGAGCAAAAGCCGGACGUGUCCGGCUGUGAGAGUACCCGAAGAAAAAGCAUCGGCUAACUCCGUGCCAGCAGCCGCGGUAAUACGGAGGAUGCGAGCGUUAUCCGGGUUUAUUGGGUUUAAAGGGUGCGCAGGCGGAUUUUUAAGUCAGCGGUAAAAUCGUGGGGCUCAACCCCAUCCAGCCGUUGAAACUGGGGAUCUAGAGUGUGCGAGAGGUAUGCGGAAUGCGUGGUGUAGCGGUGAAAUGCAUAGAUAUCACGCAGAACCCCGAUUGCGAAGGCAGCAUACCGGUGCACAACUGACGCUCAGGCACGAAAGCGUGGGUAUCGAACAGGAUUAGAUACCCGAGUAGUC